rnacentral:rRNA from 1 species
UACAGAGGUGGCAAGCGUUGUUCGGAUUUACUGGGCGUAAGGGUGCGUAGGUGGUCAUCUGUGUCGGGCGUGAAAUCCCAAGGCUCAACCUUGGAAUGGCGCUCGAAACUGGGUGACUUGAGUGCAGGAUGGGAGAGCGGAAUUCUUGGUGUAGCGGUGAAAUGCGUUGAUAUCAAGAAGAACACCGGUGGCGAAGGCGGCUACUCUGGAAUGCUAC